AGAAUGUAAAGAUGCUGGGAAAACUAAAAAUGUUUACGAGGGUCCGCAGGGGUCUCUGAAACGCCAUAUGCACUUUGCGGGAAAAUUUUAGAAAACGACGUAUGUUAGAAUAGCAAAUUUGUAAAAUUGCUCAAACUGGACUUCUAGGUUUUCUUCUUCUUAACAUGAUUUGAAUGAAUUGAAUUAUAUCCAAAACCAAUAACAUGCAUGUACAGGUACGUGAUGCAAUGACAAAACCAAACUGAUUCCAAAGGCAACAUACAACACAGCUUCAUUGUCUGCAACAUUGAUGUAGUAAAAUUUCGUCGACGUCAAGAUAAAAGUCAACCCUGCUCGGUAGAGAAGACAUAAGAACUCCACUACAACUCAAAUUGAGAAAAAAAGAUAAGAAGAAAAGAAAACAAUGAAUGGAUUUUAUUUUAAAUAUGUAGUGUUACUACAUCAGAGAACGGAAGUACCUGGUCAUGAAGAAACUGCGGUGCUUUAUCAACGAAACGUCUGCAUAUAAGUUGCGCAGAUGAAAAGGAGCAUGAACUAACUACUAGUGGCGCUGGCAAG